rnacentral:rRNA from 1 species
UUAGUGGCGGACGGGUGAGUAACGCGUGGAAAACCUGCCGUAUACUGGGGGAUAACACUUAGAAAUAGGUGCUAAUACCGCAUAAGCGCACAGCUUCGCAGGAAGCGGUGUGAAAAACUCUGGUGGUAUACGAUGGUUCCGCGUCUGAUUAGCUAGUUGGUGGGGUAAUGGCCUACCAAGGCAACGAUCAGUAGCCGGCCUGAGAGGGUGAACGGCCACAUUGGGACUGAGACACGGCCCAAACUCCUACGGGAGGCAGCAG